GUGAACCUGCGGAAGGAUCAUUACCUAGAGUUGUAGGCUUUGCCUGCUAUCUCUUACCCAUGUCUUUACAGUACCUUCGUUUCCUCGGCGGGUUCGCCCGCCGAUUGGACAAACUUAAACCCUUUGCAGUUGCAAUCAGCGUCUGAAAAAACAUAAUAGUUACAACUUUCAACAACGGAUCUCUUGGUUCUGGCAUCGAUGAAGAACGCAGCGAAAUGCGAUAAGUAGUGUGAAUUGCAGAAUUCAGUGAAUCAUCGAAUCUUUGAACGCACAUUGCGCCCCUUGGUAUUCCAUGGGGCAUGCCUGUUCGAGCGUCAUUUGUACCUUCAAGCUUUGCUUGGUGUUGGGUGUUUGUCUCGCCUCUGCGUGUAGACUCGCCUCAAAACAAUUGGCAGCCGGCGUAUUGAUUUCGGAGCGCAGUACAUCUCGCGCUUUGCACUCAUAACGACGACGAUCCAAAAGUACAUUUUUACACUCUUGACCUCGGAUCAGGUAGGGAUACCCGCUGAACUUAAGCAUAUCAA
rnacentral:rRNA from 1 species